UGUUUGCUACACCUCUAACAGGAGAAAAGGCCUCGCAUGCAAUUCAACAUUGCCUCGAGGCGUGGAGUGCUUGGGGUAAACCCAAACUCCUUAAGACAGACAAUGGACCAGCUUAUACUUCUCAAAAAUUUCAACAAUUCUGCCACCAGAUGGAUGUGACUCAUCUGACUGGUCUCCCGUAUAAUCCUCAGGGACAGGGCAUUGUAGAACGUGCCCAUCGCACUCUCAAAUCCUAUUUAAUUAAACAAAAAGGGGGAGUCGAGGAGGCUCUACCCUCAGUACCAAGAGAAGCUGUUUCCAUGGCACUCUUCACCCUUAAUUUUUUAAAUCUUGACGCCCAAGGCCAUACUGCGGCCGAACGCCACUAUUCAGAGCCUGAUAGACCAAAAGAGAUGGCAAAAUGGAAAGAUGUUCUGACUGGUCUAUGGAAAGGCCCGGAUCCUAUUUUAAUAAGAUCCAGGGGAGCGGUUUGUGUUUUCCCACAGGAAGAAGACAACCCAUUCUGGCUACCGGAACGACUGACACGGAGAAUUCUGACGCCUAAAAAUGACUCCUGGAUGGAUCCCUCGGAAACUACCUCUAGCCCUCACACUGCCUCUUUGGAUUUGGAUUCCUAGUACUUCAAAGAAUGAGUGGGGGUGGCUCUGUUUGGUGCAGCCCUAUGCUGUGGAUUAGUGUUCAUGCUAUGGUUGGUUUGCAAACUCAGAUCUCAACAGAAACGUGACAAGGCCGUUAUCACUCAAGCACUUGUGGCCAUUGAACAAGGGGCCUCCCCUAAAAUUUGGUUAUCUAUCUUCAAAAAUUAGUCGGUAUCUGAGUUCUCUGCUCUUGCACCCCAUGGAUCUGUGGAUCCAUUGCACUGGGAUGCGAGAGACUUAAUGAUUCUUUGAUCAGCCCUUCUACAUCGCUGAGGUUUCCUCAUUGCACGCGAUAGGGUGAUCAUGAUUUCCCCACUAACUCAUUUUCUGGCUGGCCUCUUUUUAGAGUUCGCCCUAGGUCAUUUAACAGUUACUGUCACACAGCACUGCGGUAUCCAGAGACGGGCAACUUUCCUCAUGCACAGACCAAUCUAAGACACGGGGCCCAGUGGCGAUAGGGUUACCCUUCGACGGAUAAGGCUGUGACAUAGAGGAACGACCUAAGACAGGAGCCACAGCAGAUGGACGUAACUGCAGGGACCUAGACCAGCCUAGACAAUAAUUUAUUGUUAUUAAUAAAAUAAUAAGGGGGAGAUGUAGAGGGCCGCAAUAACAUUCGCCACCACAAGAUGGCGCUGGCUUCCACUGCGCCCCACGUGGAAGGCCGAGAUAGCUUUGCCAUUACAAGAUGGCGCUGGCCUCCGCCGCGCCAGCUGACUUCCUUUCAGGAAGUUAACUGUGUGCGCAUGUGCAAGAGUGCCUUUGUGCCAGGUCUUUGCGCACUCCGGGGCGUGCCUAAUGAGAUCAUGGGUAAGCGACCAAUCAGGUGUGGAUGCGCCGCGCUAGGGUGUAUAUAAGCCGCGCCAUGCCGGUGCUCCUGGCCUCUCUUUAAGAUUCAAUAAACGUUUUAGCUGCAGUAA
rnacentral:lncRNA from 1 species